GCGGAGGAAAAGAAACCAACCGGGAUUGCCUCAGUAACGGCGAGUGAAGCGGCAAGAGCUCAAAUUUGAAAUCUGGUACCUUCGGUGCCCGAGUUGUAAUCUGGAGAGGGCGACUUUGGGGCUGGUCCCUGCCUAUGUGCCUUGGAACAGGACGUCACAGAGGGUGAUAACCCCGUGAGGUGGGGGUGCCAGUUCUAUGUAAAGUGCUCUCGAAGAGUCGAGUUGUUUGGGAAUGCAGCUCUAAGUGGGUGGUAAAUUCCAUCUAAAGCUAAAUAUUGGCGAGAGACCGAUAGCGAACAAGUACAGUGAUGGAAAGAUGAAAAGAACUUUGAAAAGAGAGUGAAAAAGGACGUGAAAUUGUUGAAAGGGAAGGACAUUUGAUCAGACAUGGUGUUUUGCGCCCUCUGCUCCUCGUGGGUGGGGGUCCACGCAGUUCACUGGGCCAGCAUCAGUUUUGGCGGCAGGAUAAAUCCGUGGGAAUGUAGCUCGCGCCUCUCUUCUCGGGGGGGACGGGUGUUAUAGCCUGCGGCGAAUACUGCCAGCCGGGACUGAGGACUGCGACUUCUGUCAAGGAUGUUGGCGUAAUGGUUAAAUGUCACCCGUCUU
rnacentral:rRNA from 1 species